UUAGGAAAAAAAUUGCAUAAUUUAGAAAAAUAUAUGUAUUUAAUUAUCACUGACGGUGCUGAUGAGUUGGCAAGUAUUGGAGUAUUUUGUAUUUUCUUCGUCUCGCAGAAUUCUUAAAAUAUCCAUUCUUGUCAAUUUACAUUGCACAUAUGGGAGCGAAACAUCGAGAAGAAACUGACAAUUUCGAUCAGAUGCUCUAUAGUGAAUUGAAUCAACAAACAAACUAAAUAAUCAGAAGCCAUUGGAUGCGAGAAAGAAUUGAAUAAUUCACCUGAAUAUAUUUAUGAUAUUCACCUUCAUGGUGCUUAUAGCUAAGAGAAAUCAAGAUAUCGGGCGAAACAUCUGACAGACUAAGCAUUUUCAC